CUGCCACCUCAGCCGCGCUAGGUCCCGGCAGACGCCAGCCGCUAGCCUCCAGACGCUGACGGUCCUGCCACGCUCGCCGCCGCCGCCGCCGCCGCCGACGCCGCGGGCACGACAGAGCUAAGACAUCAAGCACACAAAGAAUUUUAUGCCUACAAACAGGUUAUAUUAAAAGAGAAAGUAAAAGAACUGAAUUUACAUGAGGUAAGUAUUUUAACUUCUUCUUGAGCUGUGUUCUAAUAGAACUGAUAUAUAAUGGAAUGCUUAAACACCUUUAUUUUCAGAAGCUGAAAAAAUUAGACUGAUUUUGAUCAGCUUCAUAGAAUAUUUGAGGGUGAGGUCACAUAAAAAUCUUCUUUGUGAAGACUUCUAGGGGAGUAAAAUAACUCGGUUUUAGUAGGAAAGUCCAGCGUAAGUUGUAAUAGCAGAGUUGCUGCUUGCUGUCCAUUCUAUACAAGCAGGAGAUAGAGAUAAAUUAGUUUCACUACUCAAGAUGAAUUUGCACUAAUUUCACUUUUGAAAAUGUUCCCAGUAGUCCUUUCUUACCAAAGGCACAAGAAAGGCAGUGAUUACUUCAUGAGGGUGGGGAUUUAAGGAGGUGAGACAGAGGGAUGAAAUAGGGAAGAACAUAUAGGGAGAGAUAGGAACUUUCGGGAUUGUCUCUUGAUGAGGUUGCAUGUCUGGGGUGUUUACUAUGUUGUCAUGCUUUCUAAGUUAAAAACAAAAGUGUGUGUGUAUGCUGCUGUACACCUUAAGACACAUAGUGUAUAAUAAUUCUUGUUUAUUUUGUUCUUUGUGUUGCCUCUGAUUACAAAUGUUCAGAAUUUUUAUUUUUAAUUUUAGAGGCCUUUCUCUUCCUCCCUUUCUAAGUUUUUAAACUGGUGUUUACCACAAAGACUUGGAAAGCUGCAUGUUGUAAUAUUUACGUUUACUAUAACCCAACUGUGGUGAAGCUACAUUGCCAAUCUCUUCAAAGAGAGUUAAUUUGUGAAAUUAUUUGAAUAAUAAUAAUAAUGAUUUAUAUUAGAAUUCAUCUACUGGUACUUUGCUCUUUCUGCAUACUUUUUAUCUAAGAGUUGAUAUGGUAUGGCAUUUCAGACCUAACCUUGGAUUAAACUCAAGCAUCAGUUACUGUUUGAUUUUU
rnacentral:lncRNA from 1 species